AAAUAACCGAUCUUAAUUUGCUAACUUUGUGUGAGAUUCAUGUCUUGUUUGAAAUCCCCACCCCUGUUUCUUUACCCUUCUAUUUAUCACCCUGUUUUUUCCCUCCCUUCCAAACAGAGUGUUAAAACUUGAAUAACUACGGCACACUCAACUUCUAUCCUCUGCGGUCGUACUCUCGCCGGUGGGCUCGACAAUUGCUGCCCGGCCGACUACAUGACAUCGGAACGUCAUCAUCGAACAAGAAUGAGCCGUACUUGCCAGUGGACUGGACCAUUGCGCGCUGCCCUGGCUACCACUUGAUGCCAGAGACACAAUCAUAGACGGCGACAAUGGAGAGAGGAGAGAGAGACAACCACUAUCAGCUACACCAUAGAUGCAUACAAAGACAUAAUUUGAUGCUUAGAGACAAGUGAGGUCUUUUCAUCAACCUCUGUUUGUUCUUUCAUCGAACAUUUUCUAAGUGUAUUCAUGUUUUUGAUGGUUAGUUUUUACAUCAAGAAUGCUUAGUUUUUUAUGCUUUCAUGUGUGAAUUUGGACGUGAGCACUGAAAAAGAACUGUAUUUAGAUGGUAUUUCUAUAUUGAUUCACCUUUUUUUUUUAAAUUGAAAUUCGUCUGAUGGAAAAAAUGGAUUUGAUUUCUGAAAUUCAAACUAAGCAUAGCAUAGUUAGAUGCUUCUGUCAUUGAGUCUGCCUUUGUACUUCAUACGCGUAUGUCAUAAAUUUUCAUCAAAUUUGCUAUUCUUUACGGUUCUUUUGAAUAUAGUUUGGCUAGAGGAACCUUAUGCUAUUCUACGUUAGCAUUUAACUAGCAUACAAUUACUUGUGAGAAUAACAAAAAAAGAAGAUAGUUUUGUGUCUGUCCAGUAGAGUGAAUCUGUCCCAUUCAGAUGAACAACAGAGGGGUAUCCUCCACCAUUUUAUACACAGCUUUAUACUUGGAGAUAUACAGACUGUGUUCCGGUCUCCUAAACAUAGCAAAACAGAUAUUAAAAAAAAAAAAAAAGCGUCUUUAUUGGAAAAUUGGAGCCAACUAGCUAAGUAUGUUGCUUUGGUUUUUCUAGUGACAGCUUUUUCUUUGAUCCUUCAGCAUAACCUCACACAGAGGAAUGUAAAUUGAGAUAAAAAGAGAUGGCAGGGGAGAUAUUGAUACAACUGGAUAGAAAUGAAGGAGAUGCAAAGCUAUGUGCUAUGGAUCCUUGCAAACGUGCAAAGUGCCCACUUCGGAUACUCAACACCCGGACAUCAGACAAUUGUAUGAGAGCCAUGUUUGACAUGUUUAGUUGCACAUUCACAUAGCAAACAUACUUUGUAAUUCGGGUUUAGCAUGAACUAGGUAUAGAAUUCGUGAAUUAUGCGUGGAAUGCCUAAGGGUAUCUUUCAAACACUAUUUACCCUAUCAAAUAAAAGUAAAGUACUGAAGAAGUUGAAUA